GCAGCAGCCGCGGGAAUACGUAGGUGGCAAGCGUUGUCCGGAAUUAUUGGGCGUAAAGGGCUCGCAGGCGGUUUCUUAAGUCUGAUGUGAAAGCCCCCGGCUCAACCGGGGAGGGUCAUUGGAAACUGGGAGACUUGAGUGCAGAAGAGGAGAGUGGAAUUCCACGUGUAGCGGUGAAAUGCGUAGAGAUGUGGAGGAACACCAGUGGCGAAGGCGACUCUCUGGUCUGUAACUGACGCUGAGGAGCGAAAGCGUGGGGGGCGAACAGGAUUAGAUACCCCUGUAGUCCCUGUCUCUUAUAC
rnacentral:rRNA from 1 species